GUAAGGAAUAUUGGUCAAUGGAGGCAACUCUGAACCAGCCAUGCCGCGUGCAGGAAGACGGCCCUCUGGGUUGUAAACUGCUUUUAUCCGGGAAUAAACCUGCCUUCGUGAAGGUAGCUGAAUGUACCGGAAGAAUAAGGAUCGGCUAACUCCGUGCCAGCAGCCGCGGUAAUACGGAGGAUCCAAGCGUUAUCCGGAUUUAUUGGGUUUAAAGGGUGCGUAGGCGGCCUGUUAAGUCAGGGGUGAAAGACGGUGGCUCAACCAUCGCAGUGCCCUUGAUACUGAUGGGCUUGAAUGGACUAGAGGUAGGCGGAAUGUGACAAGUAGCGGUGAAAUGCAUAGAUAUGUCACAGAACACCGAUUGCGAAGGCAGCUUACUAUGGUCCUAUUGACGCUGAGGCACGAAAGCGUGGGGAUCGAACAGGAUUAGAAACCCUAGUAGUCC
rnacentral:rRNA from 1 species